rnacentral:lncRNA from 1 species
UGAAGUGGAAUGUAAACCCCACGAUAUCAAUCUCCUAACUGGAAUUAUGGUACCUAAAGAAAGGAUCUUGAUGCCAGCUUUAGCACCAGUGAAAGGAGAAAUCAUUGAUUUAACUUCAGAUUUUAUCCAAAAGAGGAAGCAGCCAUCGUUUGAGGGGUCUGUUGAUCGAAAGAUUUAUACCUGUGAGUACCUUCACUGUCCAUAUAGCAAUUAUCAAGCUGGAUUCCUUGACAGGACUACAAGAAAUAAUCAUCAAAUGGAUUGUCCAUUCCGUUUCAACGGCUUUAGCUCCAGUGAAGGGAGAGAUCAUUGAUUUAACUUCAGAUUUUAUCCAAAAGAGGAAGCAGCCAUCUUUUGAGGAGUCUGUUGAUCAAAAGUUGUAUACCUGUGAGUACCUUCACUGCCCAUAUAGCAAUUAUCAAGCUGGAUUCCUUGACAGGACUUCAAGAAAUAAUCAUCAAAUGGAUUGUCCAUUCCGUUUCAACUCUGCUCAACGACUUGGCAUGCCGCCAAAGUAUCACAUCAACAAUGAGAAUAAUACAGUUUUUCCUGCUCAAAUUGCGACUAAGCCAGCUACUUCAUCAGUCACAGCUUCCUCGUCGAUGACUGUCUCUGGGCUUGGACUCCCUGAAGAUGGCCAAAGGAUGAUUUCUGACCUCUUUACAUUUUAUGAUAACAACUUGCAGCAAAAUAGUAGCAUCUGUUCUGGAAAUUCCAAGAUUCUAGCAAAUCAAAGCAUGCAGCAGAACCAAACAGUUGAACUUCCGAUGGACGACAACUUCAACCUGGGACAUUUGGAGGCAGAAGCUCAAGAAUAUUCUAGCAAAUCAAAACAUGCAGCAGAACCAAACAGUUGAACUUCCGAUGGACGACAACUUCAACCUGGGACAUAUGGAGGCAGAAGCUCAAGAAACAAGCAUGACCAUGAAUUCAGCUUAUACUUCGACGGAGUUUCAAUAUGAUCAAUGCAAGUUGCCCUUUGAUGCCCCAUUUGCCGGAAACUUGAACGAUACUACUGAUUACAGAUUUGGUUCCCCAUUCAACAUGGGAGGAAGUGACUAUUCCAUAGAUCAG